UCCUCGAUUCAGCGGCGGACGGGUGAGUAAUGCCUAGGAAUCUGCCCAGUAGUGGGGGACAACGUUUCGAAAGGAACGCUAAUACCGCAUACGUCCUACGGGAGAAAGUGGGGGAUCUUCGGACCUCACGCUAUUGGAUGAGCCUAGGUCGGAUUAGCUAGUUGGUAGGGUAAAGGCCUACCAAGGCGACGAUCCGUAACUGGUCUGAGAGGAUGAUCAGUCACACUGGAACUGAGACACGGUCCAGACUCCUACGGGAGGCAGCAGUGGGGAAUAUUGGACAAUGGGCGAAAGCCUGAUCCAGCCAUGCCGCGUGUGUGAAGAAGGCCCUCGGGUCGUAAAGCACUUUAAGUUGGGAGGAAGGGCUCACAGCGAAUACCUGUGAGUUUUGACGUUACCAACAGAAUAAGCACCGGCUAACUUCGUGCCAGCAGCCGCGGUAAUACGAAGGGUGCAAGCGUUAAUCGGAAUUACUGGGCGUAAAGCGCGCGUAGGUGGCUUGAUAAGUUGGAUGUGAAAUCCCCGGGCUCAACCUGGGAACUGCAUCCAAAACUGUCUGGCUAGAGUGCGGUAGAGGGUAGUGGAAUUUCCAGUGUAGCGGUGAAAUGCGUAGAUAUUGGAAGGAACACCAGUGGCGAAGGCGACUACCUGGACUGACACUGACACUGAGGUGCGAAAGCGUGGGGAGCA
rnacentral:rRNA from 1 species